AUGUUUUGGUGUGAUGCACAGUCGCGGAGGGACUAUCAGGACUACAGAGAUGUGGUUGUGUUUGAUAGCACGUAUAAGAUGAACAAGUAUGGUAUGCCGUUCGUCCUCUUUGUCGGAGUUAACAACCACCGUUGCACCACAGUGUUUGGAUGUGCCAUAAUUGCUGACGAGACGGAAGGGACAUAUGUGUGGCUGCUGCAGACAUUUAUGAAGGCAAACUGUCAGGUGAAGCCAAAGUCAAUAAUCACAGAUGGUGACGCUGCAAUGAUCCGGGCUAUUCGGACUGUCCUUUCAAAUGUUUUCCAUCAUCUUUGCUCCUGA
rnacentral:rRNA from 1 species